UGUCGAAACGGCGGGAAACUGCCGUCUGCCGAGGGCUGACCACCCGGUACUGAUGAGACAGGUCGAU
rnacentral:hammerhead_ribozyme from 1 species